AGAGUUUGAUCCUGGCUCAGAACGAACGUUGGCGGCGUGGAUUAGGCAUGCAAGUCGCACGAAUCCCAUCGGGCUUGCUUGGUGGGGGAAGUGGCGAAAGGGGCAGUAAGGCGUGGGUAACCUACCCUGGAGUCCGGCAUAGCCGUCCUAACGGACGGGUAAUACCGGGCGACGUAACGCGAUCGCCUGACCGUGUUACCAAAGGGUCACCGCCCUGGGAGGGGCCCACGUGGUAUUAGCUUGUUGGUGGGGUAACGGCCCACCAAGGCCAAGAUGCCUAGCGGGUGUGAGAGCACGACCCGCGCCACUGGCACUGAGACACUGGCCAGACUCCUACGGGAGGCUGCAGUCGAGGAUCUUCGGCAAUGGGCGCAAGCCUGACCGAGCGACGCCGCGUGCGCGAUGAAGGCCUUCGGGUUGUAAAGCGCUGUCGAGGGGGAGGAAAGCCCGCAAGGGCCUGACCUAUCCCUGGAGGAAGCACGGGCUAAGUUCGUGCCAGCAGCCGCGGUAAGACGAACCGUGCGAACGUUGUUCGGAUUCACUGGGCUUAAAGGGCGCGUAGGCGGGUGAUCAAGUCUGGGGUGAAAUCCUCUCGCUUAACGAGAGAACUGCCUUAGAUACUGGUCAUCUCGAGGAAGGUAGGGGCAUGUGGAACUUCCGGUGGAGCGGUGAAAUGCGUAGAUAUCGGAAGGAACGCCGGUGGCGAAAGCGACGUGCUGGACCUUUUCUGACGCUGAGGCGCGAAAGCCAGGGGAGCAAACGGGAUUAGAUACCCCCGUAGUCC
rnacentral:rRNA from 1 species